GAUGAACGCUAGCUACAGGCUUAACACAUGCAAGUCGAGGGGUAACGAGAGGAAAGCUUGCUUUCCUUGUCGACGACCGGCGCACGGGUGAGUAACGCGUAUCCAACCUGCCCCCAACUAAGGAAUAACCUUGCGAAAGUAAGACUAAUACCUUAUAAUUUCCUCAGAUGUCAUCUGACGAGGAAUAAAGAUUUAUCGGUUGUGGAUGGGGAUGCGUCUGAUUAGCUUGUUGGUGGGGGAACGGCCCACCAAGGCAACGAUCAGUAGGGGUUCUGAGAGGAAGGUCCCCCACAUUGGAACUGAGACACGGUCCAAACUCCUACGGGAGGCAGCAGUGAGGAAUAUUGGUCAAUGGGCGGAAGCCUGAACCAGCCAAGUAGCGUGCAGGAUGACGGCCCUAUGGGUUGUAAACUGCUUUUAUACAGGAAUAAAGUUAGCCACGUGUGGUUAUUUGUAGGUACUGUAUGAAUAAGGACCGGCUAAUUCCGUGCCAGCCGCCGCAGUAA
rnacentral:rRNA from 1 species